CGGUGGAAAGUGGCGGACGAGCGAGUAACACGUAAGUAGUUGCCCCGUACUCAGGGAUAACUCAGCGAAAGUCGAGCUAAUACCGGAUGGUCUCGUAAGAGUAAAGCUUUUGCGGUACGGGAGACGCUUGCGGUCUAUCAGCUAGUUGGUGAGGUAAAGGCUCACCAAGGCUAUGACGGAUAGCUGGUGUGAGAGCAUGACCAGCCGCGAUGGGACUGAGACACGGCCCAUACUCC
rnacentral:rRNA from 1 species